rnacentral:rRNA from 1 species
AACGAACGCUGGCGGCAUGCCUAACACAUGCAAGUCGAACGAUUGCCUUCGGGUGAUAGUGGCGCACGGGUGCGUAACGCGUGGGAAUCUGCCCUUAGGUUCGGAAUAACAGCUGGAAACGGCUGCUAAUACCGGAUGAUAUCGCGAGAUCAAAGAUUUAUCGCCUGAGGAUGAGCCCGCGUUGGAUUAGGUAGUUGGUGGGGUAAAGGCCUACCAAGCCGACGAUCCAUAGCUGGUCUGAGAGGAUGAUCAGCCACACUGGGACUGAGACACGGCCCAGACUCCUACGGGAUGCAGCAGUGGGGAAUAUUGGACAAUGGGCGCAAGCCUGAUCCAGCAAUGCCGCGUGAGUGAUGAAGGCCCUAGGGUUGUAAAGCUCUUUUACCCGGGAAGAUAAUGACUGUACCGGGAGAAUAAGCCCCGGCUAACUCCGU